GAUGAACGCUAGCGGCAGGCCUAAUACAUGCAAGUCGGACGGGAUUCAGGAGCUUGCUUCUGAUGAGAGUGGCGCACGGGUGCGUAACACGUAUGUAACCUACCUUUAUCAGGGGGAUAGCCUCUCGAAAGAGAGAUUAAGCCCGCAUAAAAUCACAGCACAGCAUUGUGUAAUGAUCAAAUAUUUAUAGGAUAAAGAUGGGCAUGCGGAACAUUAGCUAGAUGGCGGGGUAACGGCCCACCAUGGCGACGAUGUUUAGGGGAUCUGAGAGGAUGGCCCCCCACACUGGUACUGAGACACGGACCAGACUCCUACGGGAGGCAGCAGUAAGGAAUAUUGGUCAAUGGGCGGAAGCCUGAACCAGCCAUGCCGCGUGCAGGAAGACGGCCCUACGGGUUGUAAACUGCUUUUAUACGGGAAUAAACCCAGAUACGUGUAUCUGGCUGAAUGUACUGUAAGAAUAAGGAUCGGCGAACUCCGU
rnacentral:rRNA from 1 species